UUGAAAUGCAUCACUUUCGCUCUGUGAUUAAGUCAAUUCAUGGGAUCCGUUCUGCAUAAAUGUUUCUCAGGAAAAAUCCCUUAGUGACAGUAUCACUGUUAAAACUGGUCAGCUGGGAGGGGAGUGGGACAACGAAAAGAACCUGAACUUCUUAAGAUACACAUCUGCAUAUCGACCUGUUACUCCAAGUCCUGCUUUCAGCCAACUCGGUGCUCGCAGCGCGCCGAUGUUUGGCUGCAGCUGAGCGCGAGGAGCGGGGCCACGCGGCGGGGCAGAACCACUGCCCCGAGGGCAGCAGGCGGGGCGGGGCCCGCACAGGUGCUCCGAGUUCGGCCAACGGUUCCUCCACAGCACGGGGCGGUCACGAAGCUGUGCGGGCUGCAGGGCUGGGACCUCGUGGGGAGCAAUGUUGGUGAGCAGCUGGAUCGGUAGCUAGUUGGCGAGUGGCUGGGCCAACAGAAGGCAUACGCUUGAGAUCGUAACACCAGCAGAGAUGUCAGUAACUCACUUGUGUGUGGUUAAAGCAUCAUCAGUGGAGCUAAUACCAUGAGUGGAGAGAGACGCUGCAGGAUGCUUCAAGCAAGGGAGGAAUCUGAACAGUGGCAACGUAGACUGGCCAUUGUGCAUUCAGCCCACACAUACGGAAAAUAUCAAAUUCUGCCAAGAUGGACAGAGUAUUUUGCUUCAUGUGUGAAGAGAAGAGCUUUGCCUGGAGGAUUCCCAUGUUAAUGCCAGUAAAAGCAGAAGCCAGAGAAGCUUGCCUGACCACACUGCCCAGCUGUAAUGAACGAGUGGAUAACAUCUGACUGUUAAACAGAACCACAUUUCCAAAUGGAUCUCUGAAGGGCAUGAUGGGGUAGCCAGUGUGGAUUCCCUAGAAUUACUAGACCAUACUCUACCGAACAUAAGUAGCUUCCUGAAAUACAUAUCCAUUCAAGACAUGGAUUCUGGGUACUGUUUUCAGACUAUUCGUAUGUUCACAAGACCUAUUUGGAGCCCCUAAGCAGAUUCUGCACUCGUCAAAUUUAUGCUUCAAGUGCUGUUUGCUCAGGAUUCUUGCAUCGACCUUCACAUUGAACCAAACCCUGCUUUUGAGAUGCACACGCUGAAAUACGGAUAUGAAAUAUCUGCAAACUGGGGGAGGAAAAUAAAGCACUUCAAAAAUGUAUCAUAUAUGACCAUGUAUCCCUCUGUUUUGGUAUCUGGCACAUCUCACACUUCACAGUUGAGAGGAUGUGGAAAGAGUGAAACUCUUCGCUGCCUUGGUGCAAAGCAAGGACAGCUGCAGCAUGUGCCACUACAGGCACUACUGGACAACGUGUGAGCUCAGAAGAAAACAACCUGUGUGCUGGUGAUGUGCAUAUCUGUAUAAGCACCUUUGGAAGAAGCCUAUCUGCAAUGUGAGGACAGACUGCCAUUUUAAACUCAGUUACGCCAAAGAUCUAACAACUUAGUCCAAAAUAUGAAGCUUCUGAAAUGUAGAGGGUGUGACAGUGGAAGAUCUCUGAUCCAUCAUUGAAUUAUUUGAUCAACUUCAAUCAAGAGAAGCAAGCAAGAUUCACAAGAUGUUCCUUAGUAGGUUUGGCUGAGCGUCUGAAAAUACCUCUCCGUGCCACUAGAAGCGAUGGAGCACAGCUGCUCGCUUUUCACCUCCAAAACCUGUGGGUUUUGUUUGCAGCCCUACAUCAUAAGUACUUACAUUGGAGAACAUAACUGAAGAUGAGAGAUGAAUUUUGUAUAAAGGUAAAUAAGUAAA